UCUCCGUUGGUGAACCAGCGGAGGGAUCAUUACAGAGUUGCAAAACUCCCAAACCAUUGUGAACGUUACCUAUCCCGUUGCUUCGGCGGGCGGCCCGGGCCCCGCGCCCGGCGCCCCCCGGCCCCCCGUGGGCGCCCGCCGGAGGUAAACCAAACCCUUGAAAUGCAUGGCCUCUCUGAGUCUUCUGUACUGAAUAAGUCAAAACUUUCAACAACGGAUCUCUUGGUUCUG
rnacentral:misc_RNA from 1 species